CCGUCUCCAGGUGCCGCCUGUCCUUCUACCCCUGCGGAGGACACCAGCGCUCUGAUGGGCACCCUCUGCCGUGGCUCCUGGGUUCCCUCAACAUGCCUUCCACGACGGCUGUUGAGAAGUCAGCUGCGAACCUGGUUGCUGUCGUUCGAGGGCAUCCGCCUUGUGGUACCAGCUGCUUCCACAAUCUUCUCGCUGUCUUCGGUGUUCCGCGCUUUCGCCGCGACGUACCCGGGUGUGGAUUUCUGCUCGUCCGCCCUUGCCUUUUUAUUUCCCUUUUAUAUUAUUCACGUACUGCAUUCUAGGUACCUUCUUUUCACGUGUCUUUUAGGGCAGAAGAGCAUCCCAAGCUGGGUCCCCCCGCUUUACUCUUUCACAUAUCAAUAGAGGUCAAAUUAUAAAUCAAGCUGUUACAAGC